rfam:TPA: Bos taurus chromosome 24, whole genome shotgun sequence.
UCCCUGGUGUCUCAGUUGGUAAAGAAUCUGCCUGCACUGUAGGAGACCUGGAUUCAAUCCCUGGCUUGGGAA